rnacentral:lncRNA from 1 species
UCUUCAGAUUAGAUGACCAAUGAUUACAACUCUUAGAAAUGAGUGGAUUGGAAAAGGGGAUUGAAUUACUCCUUCUGUGAAGACUAGGGAAGUAGAUGUAAAGGAAGUUUGGGAGCUGGUAAUCAACAUGGAAACAUGUAUCAAGCCAUCAAAUAUUCCACAGACUGGUCUCCUAUCUUUCAUUCUAUUUUAAUUCUGGAUAAACUAUGAAGAGGGUUCUCCCUACUCACUUCCUCCAAUUCCCAAAGUUUUUAGAACAACAGGUCAGCGUGUUCCAUUAGAGCAUAAAAUAUCACCAUUUUCAUGCUACCAUGAAGCUCUGCAUUGGAACAAACUGGAAUAAUUCAGGGUACUGGCUCCCAGACCUUCCACGGAGAACAAAAUCAGAAGACGUUCAAAUUCCUUAUAUAAAAUGCUGUAGUUGAUUGAAUCCACGGAUGCAGAACACAUGGAUUUGGAGGGCCAACUGUAGUGUUUUGGAUGAUGAUCAGAGUUGCGGAGAAAAAGAAGAAUGAGAAGAAGGAGAGUUUCAGGGAUAUUGAAAAUUUAAAUUAGAUAUCCCUCAAGAUUCCCGGUCCCUGUACAAAAACAGAUUCUUCCACUUACUCAACCAAACACUGAUCUAGGUACAGAUGGAAAGCUAUGUUGCUGCUGUAACUAAGAAUCUUAAUCAGUUUACUUUAAAAUAGAGAGCUAUCCAGUGGACCUGACCUUAUAACCUGAGCCCUCUAAAAGGAGGAUAGUAUUUUUGGCCGUUUUCAGAAAAGGAAGUCAAAGCUUUAAAGAGAUGGAUUCAACGUACAAAAAUUUCUCUAUUGUUGGCUCUCAAGAAGGAGGGAGCUGCAUGAUAAGGAACACAGAACAUCUUUGGGAGCUGAGAGAAGCCCUUAGCUAAAAGCCAGCCAGGGAAGGGGCUCUCAAUCCUGUGACUGCAAGGAACUAAAUUCUACCACAACCACGUGAACCUGAAAGAGGACCCUGAGUUACACAAGAAAAUGUUGACUGACAAGUUGACUUCAGCUUGUGAGAAUAAGUAGAAAACCUAGGCACAACACGCCUGGACUUCUGACCUAUAGAACUAUGAGCUAAUAAAUGGGUAUUGUUUUAAGCCACUAAGUUUGUGAUAAUUUGUUACACAGCAAUAGAAGACCAAUACAAACCUCCCCCUACAAAAUGAGCAAUCACUACUUACCCAGCCUCUGCUUACAUACAUAGAGCAAGGGAAACUCAACAUCUCAAGGGUAGUUUAUUUUAAAAUUCAUUUUCAGAUAGCUCUAUUAGUUUGUAUAGCCUGCAUUAUUUUGAACUGAUAUUUACUUUCCUAUAAAUCUCAGCUCUGCACUGAAAACCCACUCCAAAGAGGCCUAAUCUACUUUCA